GUACUCAUAACUUUGGAUUUGCUUGGUUUUUUUAUGUGGUGGUAUGGUUCUAAAAGCUUUGUAUUUUCUUGUUGCAUGUUUUGGAGGUACUCAUGACUUUGUUUCUAUUUGUUGCAAGUUUUAUGUGGUAAUUGUACUCAACUUUGUAUAUAAUGUGGUUGCAUGUUAUGAUGUACAUGUAUUGUGUAAAGGUCUUACUUGGUGAUGGUUUCUUGUUAAUAAAAAUAUGAAGCAAGAUUCAGGAAUUAGUUUUAUUUUUUGUUUAUUUGUGAAUACAAAUAUUCACAAAUAAGGUGUCCAUCUUGGAAGUCUCAUUGAUUGUGCUUAUCACAAAUGCAAGAUGUCUUUGGUUGU
rnacentral:lncRNA from 1 species